GGGGAGAUACCGAAGUGGUCAAACGGGGCAGACUGUAAAUCUGCUGGCUUACGCCUUCGCAGGUUCGAGCCCUGCUCUCCCCA
rnacentral:tRNA from 1 species